rnacentral:tRNA from 1 species
GCCUCCGUAGCUCAGUCGGUUAGAGCGUGGGUCUUAUGUGACCACAUUGGGGCCUUCACCGGUCCCUGGGCCCUGAUAUAGCCCAAGGUCGUGGGUUCGAUUCCCUCCGGAAGCA